GAGGAAUAUUGGUCAAUGGGCGAGAGCCUGAACCAGCCAAGUAGCGUGCGGGAUGAAGGCCCUUGUGGUCGUAAACCGCUUUUAUCAGUGAAUAAAGUGCACCACGUGUGGUGUCAUUGCAGGUAGCUGAAGAAAAAGGACCGGCUAAUUCCGUGCCAGCAGCCGCGGUAAUACGGAAGGUCCGGGCGUUAUCCGGAAUUAUUGGGUUUAAAGGGAGCGCAGGCGGGAGUAUAAGUCAGCUGUUAAAUAUCAGGGCCCAACUCUGUUAUGCAGUUGAAACUAUAUUUCUUGAGUACGCACAGGGAUGGCGGAAUUCAGGGUGUAGCGGUGAAAUGCUUAGAUAUCCUGAAGAACUCCGAUCGCGAAGGCAGCCAUCCGGAGCGUAACUGACGCUGAGGCUCGAAGGUGCGGGUAUCAAACAGGAUUAGAUACCCUGGUAGUCCGCACGGUAAACGAUGAAUACUCGCAGUUCGGUCUUUAUGGUCGAGUUGUCCAGCGAAAGCGUUAAGUAUUCCACCUGGGGAGUACGCCGGCAACGGUG
rnacentral:rRNA from 1 species